rnacentral:rRNA from 1 species
AUUGAACGCUGGCGGCAGGCCUAACACAUGCAAGUCGAACGAGUGGCGGACGGGUGAGUAAUGUCUGGGAAACUGCAUGAUGGAGGGGGAUAACUACUGGAAACGGUAUCUAAUACCGCAUACCAUCGGAUUUGCCCAGAUGGGAUUAGCUAGUAGGUGGGGUAAAGGCUCACCUAGGCGACGAUCCCUAGCUGGGCUGAGAGGAUGACCAGCCACACGGGAACUGAGACACGGUCCAGACUCCUACGGGAGGCAGCAGUGGGGAAUAUUGCACAAUGGGCGCAAGCCUGAUGCAGCCAUGCCGCGUGUGUGAAGAAGGCCUUAGGGUUGUAAAGUACUUUCAGCGGGGAGGCGUUACUCGCAGAAGAAGCACCGGCUAACUCCGUGCCAGCAGCCGCGGUAAUAC